UGUUGGACCAGAUGUAAGAAGUAAUGAAGGAGAAAUGUGUAAAUGGUCAAAGAGCAUCUAUAAAGCCACCAAGGACGGCUGCCUCAAUUGGGAACUGUCUUAGUGGGAAGGUAUAUCACAGUGGCUUGCUGUGAAUGUAAGAGAUUUGUCGUACCUUGGGUAUCAGGAUUUGGAAAAGGCAGGUGACUACAAGAUGCUCAAUGAAAAGGAAGAAAAGAAAUAGAGUGUAGUAUACCCUAUAAUCACUGAAAAGU
rnacentral:lncRNA from 1 species